rnacentral:rRNA from 1 species
AUAAACGGCCACAUCACGUUCAAAGAUCCGGUUCUCGUCAAAUCACCGACGUUAAGCAGCAUCAAGCGUAGUGAGUACUUAGAUGGGUGACCGCUUGGGAAACGUAGGUGCUGUAAGCG